CAGCAGCCGCGGGAAUACGUAGGGUGCGAGCGUUAAUCGGAAUUACUGGGCGUAAAGCGUGCGCAGGCGGUUGUGUAAGACAGGUGUGAAAUCCCCGGGCUUAACCUGGGAACUACGCUUGUGACUGCACAGCUAGAGUAUGGCAGAGGGGGGUGGAAUUCCACGUGUAGCAGUGGAAUGCGUAGAGAUGUGGAGGAACACCGAUGGCGAAGGCAGCCCCCUGGGCCAAUACUGACGCUCAUGCACGAAAGCGUGGGGAGCAAACAGGAUUAGAUACCCCUGUAGUCCCUGUCUCUUAUAA
rnacentral:rRNA from 1 species